rnacentral:lncRNA from 1 species
GAAGCUAAGUUUGCUUAAUCUCUCAUCUGGUUUCGAGAUGGAUAGAAAGAAGGAAGAAGCUUUGGUCGCGACCGAGGUUGAAACUGGCGGUUCUGAGGUUAUGAGGUCGACGGCAUCGGCUUUCGAGGAUGCGGAUGAAGUUGACUACGAUGAUGAUUAUUAUGGUGAGAGUGACGGAGAGAGUGGCGAUCCUCUGUCAUCAGACGAAGAAGAAGACAAAGAAGAUUUGCUGGCUGAGAAGCAAUUC